rnacentral:rRNA from 1 species
UACGUAGGGGGCAAGCGUUGUCCGGAAUUAUUGGGCGUAAAGAGCGCGUAGGCGGUCCGAUAAGUCGGCUGUGAAAGUCAUGGGCUCAACCCAUGAAAGCCGGCCGAUACUGUCGGACUAGAGUCCGGAAGAGGCGAGUGGAAUUCCCGGUGUAGCGGUGAAAUGCGUAGAUAUCGGGAAGAACACCAGUGGCGAAAGCGCUCUACUGGGCCAUAACUGACACUGAGGGACGAAAGCUAGGGGAGCGAAAGGG